rnacentral:tRNA from 1 species
GUGGGCAUAGUUUUAAAUAAAACAUUAGACUGUGACACUAAAGAUAGGAGUUAAAUUCUCCUUGCCUACC